CCUCCUCAGAGCGAAAGACCUACCGACGAUCCUUCGAACAUUCCAAGGCAAUCUCAUCAUCGGGCGAUAAUACCCUCGCAGGAAGAGCGUCUUGAUCGGGUCUCUCCGAGUUCAACAGCUAUCGGAAAUUUUACUCAGAAGAGCUGCAUAAUUUGUCCGAGUCAGCAUAAGACAAGGAAGAGCAGGCUCAGAGUCUGAUUCGAUUGGCCAUCGGUUCCCGGGCCCGCCAAUCAGUGUGGAGGGAUUCGUCGAGUCAGGCUCUGCUCCAAAGUAAUCGCUUUCUCUUACUCUCCACCAUCAAGCAUUUUUUUACGAUCUUAUAUACGGUGAUUCGAAAAUAACUUUGGAGAUUAGAUGAUAAUAGAAUUAACUAAAUAUAUAAAGACAUAACGUUUAUGGCGUAAGUAGUUGGUAAAUAUAGUUUGUUUACAAUAAAGCAAAAUGACUUUCUAAUAAAACCUGCGAAGCAUGACGUAACGCGACUCGUAUUUAUCAUUUCAAGUAUAACGUGCUAUCACGAUCGUAGAGAAUAAUUUUGGGAUUAACUGAGCAAUAUCUUUUGUGGCGCACUUUGUUAGAUGUAUCAACGGUUAGAGUUCCACCAUGGGAGGAUGAAACUGGUUUUAUCCGCGAUUUUCCAGCGCGCAAUGUUUCUCAAAGGUGGAAUAUUUAUGCAUCUUGUUCAUGCACGCGCGCAUCAUUAUCGGUGGGAGAUACAUGUUUCACUCUCGGUCUCAUUCAGCGCAAAAUAUUAAGACCAAUGCUUUCCUGCUAAUAUUUUAGCUAAACAAAUAUCAGAUAUGAAACGUAAAAAGACUCCAAUCGAGAUUGCCAAAGACUGCGAGACAAGCCUCUCUUAUUAUAAUAGAGAAAAUCAUUUAAAUUCGUUUGUAUUUAGUAAUAUAAGAUAGAUUAGUAAUGAAUAAUUACAAGAUACAUAAAGUAAAUUCUGCAGAUUUUGAAUUGCAGAAUCCUAUACAUUAUCGUGAGCUCGACGUUCCUGUUAAAAUAUCUGUUAUAAAAGAAAAAAUGAGGAAUGCAAAGCUCUCAAGCCGAAACAGAAGACUCAGUACUCUUACGAAAAUGUCUUAGCAACGUGGGAGCUGAUACGGGAAUGUUCAAGACAUUUGAAUAAAUCAUAAUACCUAAUGAAUUCGCUAAGGAGAUACAUUAUUAGCAAGCGAUACUUUGCUAAGCGCGUAAUUGAAAUGCGAUAUCUUCCUUCUGUUGAUUUUAUAAAAUAAGUGCACAACGCUGCGCGGCACGAGUUCUCAGUAUUCCCGCUUAGUAUUCUCAUUAAAGGCACUGUUACGCGUGUGCGCACGUUAAUUAACUCUCUUCUCGGAAAUGUUGUGCACACGCAUAUUUUUUCUAUCUGAGACUGGCGCUUUCUUCUGCUGCGUAAACGGCAAGUGACACGUUUAUACACAUUAAAGAAACUGUUUCACUAA